rnacentral:rRNA from 1 species
CCUACGGGGGGCAGCAGUCGAGAAUUUUUGGCAAUGGGCGAAAGCCUGACCAAGCGAUGCCGCGUGCGGGAUGAAGGCCUUCGGGUUGUAAACCGCUGUCAGUGGGGAGGAAAGCUUUGUGAAGAGCAAGGCUUGACCUAUCCGCAGAGGAAGUGUGGGCUAAGUUCGUGCCAGCAGCCGCGGUCAGACGAACCACACAAACGUUAUACGGAAUUACUGGGCUUAGAAGGUGCGUAGGCUGCGUAGGUAGGAAAUACCUCGGCUCAACCGAGGAACUGCGCCCAAAACUACUGUGCUUGAGGAAGAUAGAGGUAAGCGGAACUUACGGUGGAGCGGUGAAAUGCGUUGAUAUCGUAAGGAACACCUGUGGCGAAAGCGGCUUACUGGGUCUUUUCUGACGCUGAUGCACGAAAGCUAGGGGAGCAAACGGGAUUAGAUACCCCUGUAGUC